AAAGAUUUAGUUAAAAUAUAACAUUAGAAUGUCAAACUAAAAUUAUUAAUAAUUAAUAAUCUUUA
rnacentral:tRNA from 3 species